rnacentral:rRNA from 1 species
UACUCAAGAAAAGGAUUUAAGUCCAGCCUAAAGUCUUCUUAGUUUAUCAAAACGUGACCUCGACUUUAGAGUAAUUCAAAUAAGGUACAGCCUAUUUGAAAAAGGAUACAACCUAAACUAACGGGUAAUGAUUCAACUCUAUAACUAAGUGGGCCUAAAAGCAGCCACCUUUAAAACAGCGUCAAAGCUUCAUUAUAACACACACCUAAUACCAUAAAAAUUUGACACCCCUUUAAUUCUAUUGAGUAAUUCUAUGCUAUUAUAGAAAAUAUAAUGUUAAAACUAGUAACAAGAAGAAGACCUUCUCUUUAAUGCAAGUGUAAAUCAGGAAGGACCUCCCACUGAUAAUUAGCCCCCAUGAAACUACAUUAGUAACCUCACAAGAAAAUCCUAAUAAAUUUUGAGUUAAUCUAACACAAGAGCAUUACAAGAAAGAUUUAAAGAAAAAGAAGGAACUCGGCAAACAUUAACCUCGCCUGUUUACCAAAAACAUCGCCUCUUGAAUAACUAUAAGAGGUCUAGCCUGCCCAGUGACUUUGUUCAACGGCCGCGGUAUCCUAACCGUGCGAAGGUAGCGUAAUCACUUGUCUUUUAAAUGGGGACUUGUAUGAAUGGCAUCACGAGGGUUAUACUGUCUCCUUUUUCUAAUCAGUGAAACUAAUCUUCCCGUGAAGAAGCGGGAAUAAACAUAUAAGACGAGAAGACCCUAUGGAGCUUUAAACUCAAUAACAAAUACUAACCUUACAUCAACCCUCAGAGUAUUAACCUUAAUUUUAGUAUUAUGAUUAUUAGUUUUAGGUUGGGGUGACCGCGGAGUAAAAAUUAACCUCCACAUUGAACGGGACCUGUCCCUGAGCCAAGAACUACAGCUCGAAGCACCAACAAAUUGACAUUAAUUGACCCAAUAUUUUGAUCAACGAACCAAGUUACCCUAGGGAUAACAGCGCAAUCCACUUCAAGAGCUCCUAUCGACAAGUGGGUUUACGACCUCGAUGUUGGAUCAGGGUAUCCCAGUGGUGCAGCCGCUACUAAAGGUUCGUUUGUUCAACGAUUAAAACCC